AUUGAACGCUGGCGGCAGGCCUAACACAUGCAAGUCGAGCGAGCGGCGGACGGGUGUGUAAAGUCUGGGAAACUGCCUGUUGGAGGGGGAUAUCUCCUGGAAAAGGUAGCGAAAAUCGCAUACCAUCAGAUGUGCUCCGAUGGGAUUAGCUCGUGGGUGGGGUAACGGCUCACCUAGGCGACGAUCCCUAGCUGGUCUGAGAGGAUGACCAGCCACACUGGAACUGAGCCACGGUCCAGACUCCUACGGGGGGCAGCAGUGGGGAAUAUUGCACAAUGGGCGCAAGCCUGAUGCAGCCAUGCCGCGUGUGUGAAGAAGGCCUUCGGGUUGUAAAGCACUUUCAGCGGGGAGGCGUUACCCGCAGAAGAAGCACCGGCUAACUCCGUGCCAGCAGCCGCGGUAAUUC
rnacentral:rRNA from 1 species